CCCCUCUCAGGAUCGCAACUGGAGAGUUUGCAGUACUCCACCAGUCUCGGCUAGGGAGGGAGAUUCAAGCAUAUACAUACCCAUUCCAUUUCUAGCUUGGGCAGUGGCUAGCGAGUGGGAGGCAAUCUGCUACAAGU